rnacentral:sRNA from 1 species
AAUAAAGAAGAAGAAAAAAC